CGCCGGCGUUUUCUUCCUCUUUGUUUCAAGCUUCUUCGUCUUCUGCUGAUACCUCCCCUUCGUUCCCCAGCUUGUCUUCUUCAAGUUCCAGUUCGGCUUCACCGUUUUCUGUUUCCUCAACACCGGCAUUUUUCAUUUGCCAGCGGUUCAGCUUUUUCUGAGAGCCCUUUGAGUUCUACAUCCACGAUUUUUUCUUCUCCUCCGCCUGCUUCAUCUUCAUCGUCCACAUCAACUUUCUCUUUUGGAAUUUCUGAAUCGUCUUCCUUCCAAGCAUCGUUUGGAUUUGGCAACGCAGCAUCUAGUGGUGCGUCUACUUCUAUAUUAGCACACCACUCACGAAGCCUCCUUCCUUCGGUUCUGGGAGUUCCUCAGUCAGUGCCGUGAUUGCUUCGGUUAUAACAGUGAGUUCAGCCCCUGCAUCUUCUGCUUCAAGCUUAUUCUCUUCACAAGCGCCUGCCUCGUUCGCUUCUACACCAGGAAGUUCUUCAGCGGCAGCUACAGCUUCAGCAGCACCAACUAGCACAGCUGCUUCCUCUGCUACUACGAGUCCUUUCCCAACUUUUUCCUUGUCAGGCAAAACAACAGCUCCAUCGUCAUCUGCGCAGCCCCAAACAACAAUCGCUGCACCACCUGCAUUUGAUUAUAAAAAAAUGGAACUCAGAGCUGCAAGAACACACCGGAAAAUUUCGAAAGCAAGCUUGUGCAAUAGCUGAGUGUGACAGGAGGAUCCUGCAAAAUCGUUCUUCUAAGGCUUGCGAUUGAAGUAGCAAAAGUUGUUGGGACACAAGCUAAUUUGGAGCGACAAUUGGAGUUGAUUGAAACUUAUCAACAAGAAGUUGACAAAAGCUUUGCAAGUAUAGAAGAAGAAGCUGAGCGUAUUUACAAGGAUGAGCGAGCAUUGCUACUGGAAGAUGAGGCUGCAUCUACAAGGGAUGCCAU